rnacentral:misc_RNA from 1 species
ACGAGUUUUGAAAGGGGUUGUAGCUGGCCUUCCGAGGCAUGUGCACGCCCUGCUCAUUCCACUCUACACCUGUGCACUUACUGUGGGUCUCAGGCGAGCGUCGGUCGCUUCGCGGCGUCCGUCGUUCAACUGGGCUCACGUUUUACUACAAACUAUUAAAGUAUCAGAAUGUCUACUGCGAAUUAACGCAUUUAAAUA